UGAGUUCUCCCUGACUCCUUGAGAGUCCUGAAGGAACGUUGAAGACGACGACGUUGAUAGGCCGGGUGUGUAAGCGCAGCGAUGCGUUGAGCUAACCGGUACUAAUGAACCGUGAGGCUUAACCUUACAACGCCGAAG
rnacentral:rRNA from 1 species